GUACGCCUACGGGAGGCAGCAGUGGGGAAUAUUGCACAAUGGGGGAAACCCUGAUGCAGCGACGCCGCGUGAGCGAAGAAGUAUUUCGGUAUGUAAGGCUCUAUCAGCAGGGAAGAAAAAUGACGGUACCUGAGUAAGAAGCACCGGCUAAAUACGUGCCAGCAGCCGCGGUAAUACGUAGGGGGCAAGCGUUAUCCGGAUUUACUGGGUGUAAAGGGAGCGUAGACGGAAUUGCAAGUCUGAUGUGAAAAUCCGGGGCCCAACCCCGGAAGUGCAUUGGAAACUGUAUUUCUAGAGUGUCGGAG
rnacentral:rRNA from 1 species